UACGGAGGAUCCAAGCGUUAUCCGGAAUCAUUGGGUUUAAAGGGUCCGUAGGCGGGCCUGUAAGUCAGUGGUGAAAUCUUUCGGCUCAACCGGAAAAUUGCCAUUGAUACUGCAGGCCUUGAAUUAUUGGGAAGUAACUAGAAUAUGUAGUGUAUCGGUGAAAUGCUUAGAUAUUACAUGGAAUACCGAUUGCGAAGGCAGGUUACUAUCAAUAUAUUGACGCUGAUGGACGAAAGCGUGGGGAGCGAACAGG
rnacentral:rRNA from 1 species